rnacentral:rRNA from 1 species
UACGUAGGGGGCAAGCGUUGUCCGGAUUUACUGGGCGUAAAGAGCUCGUAGGCGGCUUGUCACGUCGGGUGUGAAAGCCCGGGGCUUAACCCCGGGUCUGCAUUCGAUACGGGCAGGCUAGAGUGUGGUAGGGGAGAUCGGAAUUCCUGGUGUAGCGGUGAAAUGCGCAGAUAUCAGGAGGAACACCGGUGGCGAAGGCGGGUCUCUGGGCCGAUACUGACGCUGAGGAGCGAAAGCAUGGGUAGCGAACAGG